rnacentral:rRNA from 1 species
AAAACUAGCCAGUCUUUUGCGUAUGAAACCCAUUUGGGCGAGAGUAGUACUAGGAUGGGUGACCUCCUAGGAAAUCCUCGUGAAAGGGUUUC